rnacentral:pre_miRNA from 1 species
CGGGUUUUGUACCACAUUCAGAGUAUUCCAGGUUGCAUAGCUUUGUGCUACUAUUGCUGUACGAUCUGGGACACUUUUAACAUGGUAUCAAAUCUGA